rnacentral:rRNA from 1 species
AGGGAACGCUGGCGGCGUGCUUAACACAUGCAAGUCGAACGAGAACGGAUUAUAGCUUGCUAUAAUUGUCAGCUAAGUGGCGCACGGGUGAGUAAUGUAUAGGUAAUAUGCCUCUUACUAAGGGAUAACAAAUGGAAACGUUUGCUAAUACCUUAUACUCCUUAUUAACAUAAGUUAAUAAGGGAAAGAUUUAUUGGUAAGAGAUUAGCCUGUAUUGUAUCAGUUAGUUGGUGGGGUAAUGGCUUACCAAGACUAUGACACAUAACUGGUUUGAGAGGAUGAUCAGUCACACUGGAACUGAGACACGGUCCAGACUCCUACGGGAGGCAGCAGUGGGGAAUAUUGCACAAUGGACGAAAGUCUGAUGCAGCAACGCCGCGUGGAGGAUGACACAUUUCGGUGCGUAAACUCCUUUUAUAUAAGAAGAUAAUGACGGUAUUAUAUGAAUAAGCACCGGCUAACUCCGUGCCAGCAGCCGCGGUAA